rnacentral:rRNA from 1 species
CGGGGUGAGUAACGCGUGGGCAACCUGCCUUACACAGGGGGAUAACACUUAGAAAUAGGUGCUAAUACCGCAUAAGCGCACAGCUUUGCAUGAAGCAGUGUGAAAAACUCCGGUGGUGUAAGAUGGACCCGCGUCUGAUUAGCUGGUUGGCAGGGUAAAGGCCUACCAAGGCGACGAUCAGUAGCCGGCCUGAGAGGGUGAACGGCCACAUUGGGACUGAGACACGGCCCAGACUCCUACGGGAGGCAGCAG